AUACUUACCUGGACGGAGUCAAUGGGUGAUCAUUAAAGUCCAUGGCUUAUGCUAGCGACUAACUAGUCGAACCUAAGUCAUAAUUUGGGUUAGAGGAGGCCUGCGUUCGCGCGACCUCUGC
rnacentral:snRNA from 1 species